rnacentral:lncRNA from 1 species
AUGCCAUCACCAGGGUGCCUGGCUGACUCUCCUACUUGCUGCAUGAGUCGGGAUGAACCUGGAGUCAAGACUUUCCUUGCCCUUUCUUUGCAAGUCAUUCACCCAAGGUCUAGUCUGCAGAUCCAGGUAGGAAUGGGAAGAGCCCAACUAGAUGCUGCAUGCACCACUUUCCCGAUUAUGACAAGAAAGCAGCCUAGGGCUGGCCAGAAAUUUUGUUUUACAUCAGAAGAUGUACUUUCAAAACAAAAAAUCUGUAUUUUUAUGUGAUAUUAUUAUUAUUAUUAUUAUUAUUAUUUUCCACAAUUUCUCCAUUAGGCUGAAGUUCACUCCAUAGCACGAUGCUUUCCCUCUGACUGCUCUGGCUGUUAUGUUACAGAAGAUGCAGUGUGACCAGCUUGCCAUGCCUGUGGCAAAGAACAAGGCAUCUUUACUUGAACUGACAAGCUCUUUCAAGACACGGAGCGGUGGGAAAUGAAAAUUUAAUGUUGAGAUGACUGGAAAAAAAAAGGCUUUUAGCAUUGUUUCAACGUGAUUCUCCACUGUGAAAUUCUUUGAUUAAAAGCUUUGGAAUUUGUGUUCUGUGCUUUUCCAGGACGUACCUUUAAAUAGUGAAAUGCAUCUUCUGGUAUCCUUGCGUGUGGGAGAGUAACCACUGGUGAAAAAUACUAACGACUUGGUUGACUAGCGUAACAAGAAAGAAAACUGCAGCAGAAUUUGCAUCUAUUGCUGGUCUGAUUCUUGGUGAUGAAUAAGUAGUGGUUAGUGCUGGUUUCAUGCAGAAAAUGUCGAAAUGCCAGCUUUCUUUGGGAUGAUAAAACAGGAUGAAAAUGGAAACUGACACUUCUUAAUUUCCCGGGGGAAGAGGGUUCUGCAUUUAGCCUGAUGUAAAACAAGAUCUUCCUUGACAAGUUUUGCAUAAACCUAUCACUUAACUUUUCCCAGGUAUUAAAUGAUCUUUCUGAAGCUGAUCUGAGUUUGAGGUAGGGCAUUUUAGUUAACAUUUCCACGAUAUUUUGAGGAAUAGCUCAGUAAGUAUGCUAGCAACUUGCCCCUUGUCCAGUAUUUCAUAAAUAAUGCAUGUUUUGUAUCAAAGCCAAUAUUUUAAAUCUACAACAGACACAGAAGUCACAAACAAAUGUUCAUGUGGGAAAACAAGAUUAAUUCUGUUAGUGUGAACUAUUUGAAUCUUGAAUGUAUUAAUCCUCAUUUCUGAGCAACUGUUAACUUUGAAAGUAAAAAGCUAUCAAAUUAUGAUGUGAUGGAAAGUAUACUGAAACACUUGCCAUUAAAAGAAAUAUGACAUUCUACUAUUUCUAGAAGAAUGUCUGAAGAAAUUAGUAAAUUUAUUUCAAUAUUGCUCAAAUGUCUGUUUCAGAUUUAUUUAUUUUUUCUUUUCUGAAAUUCUUGGCAAAAACAUCACCAGUACCCAUCUUUGGUUAUAUUUCUCAAUUAACAAAUACACUUAACGAUUUUUUCUCCUCUUCUGAGUGACAUAAUUAAUUCUUGACUGUGCAGUGCUUUGAAAACAGAACUAUCAAAUGUGAACUAGAGUGAAUCAUGACUGUUCCUGAAAGUCUAAUAAGAAUUAUAUUGGGCAUAACUAAGCUGUAAGUGGCACUCCAGUGUAAUAUGUUUUUACAUGGUGUAAAUUUUGCUUCAGACUUCUGGAAAAGAAUCAUUGCUGAAUGUUUCUGCAAGUCUAGUGUAAUUUUGGUUUUAACCUCAACACAAAAAUAAAUAAAUAAUCAUAUUGUAAAGUUAUAAAGGAAAUUAAAAUCACUCAAGGUUCUCCUACUCUCGUUCCCCCACCUACCAGCAAAGGUGGUUUCACACUUAUUACCAGAUGGCUUUUUGGCCAGUGUGUGCAAACCAAAAAACACAGAUGCGGACUCAGUCCUUUGAACAGAGGCUAAACGCAGCUGCUGUCUGUGCUGGAAGUGGAGUCACAAGAAUGUUCUAGUAUUACAUGGCCUGGAGUGCAUGCUAAACCAGAUGAUGCUAAUGGGAAGAAGAGAGCUACAGGCCCCUUGGUGCUCCCUGCUUCCCUUCCCCUCCAAAUACAUACAUACAUCAUUGGACUCUUCUACUACUACUACUACUACUACUACUACUCUACUAGUAGUAGAGUGGACCUACCAACAUGUUCAGGAGAAAUAAAAGAGCAAAUUUGAGUGUCCUGUUCCAGUUAAGCAGUCAGCGGCACGAAGCACAGACAGAUGCUCCUGUUAUUGCAAACAAGCUGGGAUAUAAGCUGGCAGUGCCCCAGCUACACUUCGAUCCCCGUGUGUAUAUUCUUACUCUGAGGUGGAUGUGAAGCACCUUCAUCACUUAGCUUGUGGACUCACGUGGUAGGUUUGACAUUCUUGCUCAAUAUUCCAGUCUGUAUUAUAGAUUAAACCAUAUUUACGUGGUUUGAAUUUAUUUUUUUCAGGUCUGUGUCUUUAAAAAGGGACUCUGUAGUAGUGCAACCCACAGCUGCCCUGCCAACACUGAGCUGGUGAGCCACAGAGCAGUGCCUGUUCAGCAAGCAUUCAGGCAGCAGCAGCAACCUGCUUCUGAGUUGUGAGGGUGCUCCUCAUGCCAUGCCACCAUGAGUGGGCCACACACUUCACCUGCAGUUUCUGGAGAUGCCACUGACUCUGUCAAGGCUGCAGGACUGUGGAGUUGCACUUCUUUGAGGUUAUGAACUUGCAUCGAAGCUGGGAAUUAGCAUGGACAAAAAUCCCACAACCUGCAUCAGCUGUCUUCAGUCUGCCACAUCACCAAUGAGCCUACAUGACUGCAUCAUCAAAGCUUGCUUUCAGAGGUCAUUUAUCAUUGACAACGUCUCCUCUUCAGCAUCCUGUACAUGUGAUUCAACACCUUAUGAGUCAACAGGGUAGCUAAAGGCAGAAACAGAGCAGCCCCUUGUUCCAGAUCAUGUGGGUCAUCAGGGAGAACAGAGAUGGGGUGAGUCUGCAAAGCACUUGUAGACUGGGAUCAGCAGAGGUAGACAAGCUCUCUCAGAACAUGAAACGUACACUGGUUUAGUGCUAGUGAGCAUGGCUGUUUUGUCCAGAAAUCCCAGCAGAUGCUGUGACUGGGGGCAGAUACUAGCUUCUAUGCAGUUCAGUGAGGGUAGGAGCCUGUCAGCCUGCCCCCUCCACAAGGAGGAGGGUCCCUUGGUCACAUCCUAUUCAGAGAAGUCUGGAAGGGGAUAAUUCUGUGUGGGAAGAAAGCAGGAGCUCAGAUGGAAAGCAAACCUCUUCCCCAACAUGUUCUUUUUUUCACUGCAGGCUCUUGCAAAAUGUUGGCAAAAUACUUUUUAUCUGUGGUAUUCAGCUUAUGGUCUGCACUGGGGUCAUGUGGCCUGCAGCAUCACAGACUGAAUGCCAAAUUUCUUCAGAAAGUUAUAGCUUUGGCCACUGGAUCAAACCACAUUUGGUUCAGCUUCUUUUAGGUUACACCACAGGCUGGAAGAGCUUCCCUGCAAAACACUCUAUCAAUUUCAUCGCCGUAGCAUUUCCUGUGAAUAAGACGGUGAUCUGAGGUAGGGAGUGUUUCCUCUCAGCUGGCUGUGGACCUUGUGUCUCCUACCUCUGUAAUUCUUUGUCUUCACUCUUCUUGUUUCACGUUCUGGCAUCUGGGACACUCCUUUGCUUUGACUGGUUUCUGUUUUUCGUCUUGCUCACACCUUUGGCUGCUGAAUGGAGCUGGAGAAAGUCCAGACUUCUCUCCAGUGCCUAAUUCUUCAAAUCAAACCCAUCUUCACAGGUUUGGUUUUGGCUUUUAUUUUUGGCUAAUGACUAUAGUGAUACCAGCCUUGCUCAGCGGUGAUACUUACAUUUGCAAGAUUGUUUCUUUUUAUUUUUUUUUUUGUAUCUCUUUUCCAAGGUCUUUCUCUUGUUUUCACCCUCCUGUUGUGCAGAUGCAUUUUGCUGCAUUUUUAACUGUUACUCCACUGUAUGAUCCCUCACCCUGUUUAUGGCCUAUGCCAUAGAAUUUGUCCUUUGUACUUCACUGCGUUGUCCUGGUCCCAUGCCCAACAUCACCGUGUCAAUAAAG